rnacentral:rRNA from 1 species
UGGGGAAUAUUGGACAAUGGGCGAAAGCCUGAUCCAGCCAUGCCGCGUGUGUGAAGAAGGUCUUCGGAUUGUAAAGCACUUUAAGUUGGGAGGAAGGGCAUUAACCUAAUACGUUAGUGUUUUGACGUUACCGACAGAAUAAGCACCGGCUAACUCUGUGCCAGCAGCCGCGGUAAUACAGAGGGUGCAAGCGUUAAUCGGAAUUACUGGGCGUAAAGCGCGCGUAGGUGGUUUGUUAAGUUGGAUGUGAAAUCCCCGGGCUCAACCUGGGAACUGCAUUCAAAACUGACUGACUAGAGUAUGGUAGAGGGUGGUGGAAUUUCCUGUGUAGCGGUGAAAUGCGUAGAUAUAGAAAGGAACACCAGUGGCGAAGGCGACCACCUGGACUAAUACUGACACUGAGGUGCGAAAGCGUGGGGAGCAAACA